UACAGAGGUCUCAAGCGUUGUUCGGAUUCAUUGGGCGUAAAGGGUGCGUAGGCGGCGCGGUAAGUCGGGUGUGAAAUCUUGGAGCUUAACUCCGAAACUGCAUUCGAUACUGCCGUGCUUGAGGACUGGAGAGGAGACUGGAAUUCAUGGUGUAGCAGUGAAAUGCGUAGAGAUCAUGAGGAAGACCAGUAGCGAAGGCGGGUCUCUGGACAGUUCCUGACACUGAGACACGAAGGCCAGGGGAGCAAACGGG
rnacentral:rRNA from 1 species